rnacentral:lncRNA from 10 species
CACAGCAUGAGUGACGCAGAGGACAGACAUAAAGCCCCUGGCCUAUGUCAAAUGUCUGACUGAUGCUCAUAAUACGAUAAUGGUACUUCUGAAUCAAAACUCAGCGUUGCCUCCAAGAAACACAGCCCAAAAGGCAAAAUUAAAUGUGCAGUGUCUAAAUGGAUCUCGCUGAUCAUUCUUGUUUUCCUCCAAGAACCUGAAGCUAUGGUUUAUCGUUUUCCUGUGGAAUGUACUGUGAAAUACCAAACUAACUUUAACUUAUCUGUUACCUUGGGGCUUUCUUUACUUUACUAGAGAAGCAGCAGGAUAUAAAGAAAGAAUUCUGGAAAAGUAUACCACCUAGAACUGUUUCCCAAGCCCUCUUUCGAAAAGAAAUAUUGUUAUGUUCAAAUAUGUCAGAG